UAGGGAAUCUUCCGCAAUGGACGCAAGUCUGACGGAGCAACGCCGCGUGAGUGAAGAAGGAUUUCGGUUCGUAAAACUCUGUUGUUAGAGAAGAACAGCGCAUAGAGUAACUGUUAUGCGUGUGACGGUAUCUAACCAGAAAGCCACGGCUAACUACGUGCCAGCAGCCGCGGUAAUACGUAGGUGGCAAGCGUUGUCCGGAUUUAUUGGGCGUAAAGCGAGCGCAGGCGGUCAAUUAAGUCGGAUGUGAAAGCCCCCGGCUCAACCGGGGAGGGUCAUUGGAAACUGGUUGACUUGAGUGCAGAAGAGGGGAGUGGAAUUCCAUGUGUAGCGGUGAAAUGCGUAGAUAUAUGGAGGAACACCAGUGGCGAAGGCGACUCUCUGGUCUGUAACUGACGCGGAGGUUCGAAAGCGUGGGUAGCAAACAGG
rnacentral:rRNA from 1 species